GGCGUAGUUCAAUUGGUAGAGCGUCGGUCUCCAAAACCGAAUGUUGGGGGUUCGAGUCCCUCCGCCC
rnacentral:tRNA from 1 species